GAAUUUUGGACAAUGGGCGAAAGCCUGAUCCAGCAAUGCCGCGUGCAGGAUGAAGGCCUUCGGGUUGUAAACUGCUUUUGUACGGAACGAAAAGCUUUGGGUUAAUACCCAGGAGUCAUGACGGUACCGGAAGGAUAAGCACCGGCUAACUCCGUGCCGGACGCCGCGGUAAUACGUAGGGUGCAAGCGUUAAGCGGAAUGACUGUGCGUAAAGCGUGCGCAUGCGGUUGUGGAAGACAGAGGUGAAAUCCCCGGGCUCAACCUGGGAACUGCCUUUGUGACUGCAAGGCUAGAUUACGGCAGAGGGGGGUGGAAUUCCGCGUGUAGCAGUGAAAUGCGUAGAUAUGCGGAGGAACACCGAUGGCGAAGGCAACCCCCUGGGCCUGUACUGACGCUCAUGCACGAAAGCGUGGGGAGCAAAC
rnacentral:rRNA from 1 species